ensembl:lncRNA
CAACUAAAGAUCAUACACGUUGCAUGACAAUGCACCUUCUAUCUUUAAUCAGUUUUGUGAUAUUAUUCAUUUAAUAAUCCGCAAUUUAAAAAUAUUUUUACAUUAUUAAACUUUUUUUUUUACAUAGAGAACAUUUUUGUGAUUUGGGCAAAACAAUUUACUUAAACAGCGAUUCCAAAAGGCAAAAAACAUUGCUAUAGAAAAAAAUACAGUAUGGACAAAAAAUGUUAAAUAUUGAUUAGUGAAUAAUACAUUGAGGUGCACAGCAUACGUUCCCACCUGUAUUGUCUUAUAUCAGUUGCAUCAGUUGGUUGAAAACUUGUCAUACAACAGGUUUUGGCAGCUUUCUCUUUCUGAACUUUUCACAAUGACCAAGCAACUCUUAUCCCUUUAGAAUCUUGUGAUAGACGGCUGGUUAUUUGUUUUGGACGUAGUUCCCACCCUCUCAGGACUUAAGCCUUUAUGUGUUUAGGGUGUGUUCACUUUGCAUUAAUAUGAGACAGUUUGUCACCAUGAAUCAGCAAAUCUGAUCUUUUUAAUGCUAACUUGUGCUGGACGGUAUCGCCGUGUGUCACUAAUGGGACAAAUAAUAGUAGGAGUGAAUGGUGGGAUGUAGUGACUGGUGGCCACGAUUUUGUGUUACAAACAUUUUUAUCGUGAAAGAGAAAAAGUAGUAGUGGUUAAAUAAAAUAAAGGUUGUAUUUGAUUUGCAGCUUAACGUAUCAUCCCCUGCAGUAGUAAUUCUUAUUCAUAGACACGCUCAUGGAGAGCUUUAGUGACAGCCAACAAAAAAUGGCAAAGAAAUGUUAAUCCACCUGACACGACACAAAUCGGGCUUCAUUUAAGGGCGACGCGUGUGUUGUUUAGUGAGCGUGGUAUAGCUGCGCACAAACACACACACUCAUAUUGACGCUCAUUAAAAUCUUGAAUUUCAAAAAUAAACAUUAGAUAAUUCGUACUUUGAAAAAUCCCCAAAUUAUGGUCUAAAUGUCAUUUGUUUAAUUUACAUCAAAUGUAUUCUAGCAGUUUAAGUGCUGUCUCGCCUCAGAAUAUCCAACAUCUGUAUCUGUAUGUGCGUGAUCCUUUUAAAGUCCUAAACUCCUGCAGCCCUCCUCAUGAACCUCCGUGACCUCGACAAUCUGGACAAAAUACUGCUUC